rnacentral:rRNA from 1 species
UACGUAGGGGGCAAGCGUUGUCCGGAAUCAUUGGGCGUAAAGAGCGUGUAGGCGGCUCGGUAAGUCCGCUGUGAAAGUCCAGGGCUCAACCCUGGAAUGCCGGUGGAAACUGUCGAGCUAGAGUCCGGAAGAGGCGAGUGGAAUUCCUGGUGUAGCGGUGAAAUGCGCAGAUAUCAGGAGGAACACCAAUGGCGAAGGCAGCUCGCUGGGACGGUACUGACGCUGAGACGCGAAAACGUGGGGAGCAAACAGG